rnacentral:rRNA from 1 species
AUUGAACGCUGGCGGCAGGCCUAACACAUGCAAGUCGAGCGGAUGACGGGAGCUUGCUCCUUGAUUCAGCGGCGGACGGGUGAGUAAUGCCUAGGAAUCUGCCUGGUAGUGGGGGACAACGUUUCGAAAGGAACGCUAAUACCGCAUACGUCCUACGGGAGAAAGCAGGGGACCUUCGGGCCUUGCGCUAUCAGAUGAGCCUAGGUCGGAUUAGCUAGUUGGUGGGGUAAUGGCUAACCAAGGCGACGAUCCGUAACUGGUCUGAGAGGAUGAUCAGUCACACUGGAACUGAGACACGGUCCAGACUCCUACGGGAGGCAGCAGUGGGGAAUAUUGGACAAUGGGCGAAAGCCUGAUCCAGCCAUGCCGCGUGUGUGAAGAAGGUCUUCGGAUUGUAAAGCACUUUAAGUUGGGAGGAAGGGCGGUAAGUUAAUACCUUGCUGUUUUGACGUUACCGACAGAAUAAGCACCGGCUAACUCUGUGCCAGCCGCCGCGGUAAGAC